AUCACUCGGCUCGUGGGUCGAUGAAAA
rnacentral:rRNA from 1 species